rnacentral:rRNA from 1 species
CUCAUGGCCUUUAUGCUUAGGGCUACACACGUGCUACAAUGGGUGGUACAAAGAGAAGCCAACUCGCGAGAGCGCGCCAAUCUCAAAAAGCCAUCCUCAGUUCGGAUUGGAGUCUGCAACUCGACUCCAUGAAGUUGGAAUCGCUAGUAAUCGCGGAUCAGCAUGCCGCGGUGAAUACGUUCCCGGGCCUU